GUACUUCUGAAAUGCUUUAUUAGGUUCUAUAAAGGGGUUAAAAUGGUGAUUUUUCAAUCGUAUUCAAAGACAGCACAGCAUCUUUUAGAAAUCUGACUCUGGCUAGAGUAGACCUGGAAACACAUUGGAUGGAGGAAUCACAGCAAGUCACUAAGAUCAGAAUUACUGCUGGACCAUGAAAGUAAACAGGAAAAGACAAAAAAUAUUUUAAAUUAAUCCCAAAUAUACAUCUGUUAAUUGCCAUUUCAAUUCUUCAAAUAUUUGCAUAUGCAAAUGUGCCCAUUCAACACUGAAUUAUUAAAAUUGAGGCAGACAAUUGAGCUUUGCACACAGCAAAGGCAGCCUGGAAUGGAGAAAACUGACUGGAGGUUGAGGAGAGAAAACAUAGGAAACUUCCACUCUUUCUCUUUGUGAUAAGGGAACCUGGUAAUGACCCAGAGACCCUGGGAACUCUGGAAAAGGGCAGCUCUAAAUGGAGGAAGGACACCUUGCAGGGGGAGAGGAAUUAAGGAUUUGUUUGGUUUUCACAAACAUGUCUACGGUAAAUCCCCGUGUGGAGAGAAUGCUUUUUAAGCUCCUGUUAUGUCCCAGACACUGGACAGGCACACAGACCUGUGGUCUCGCAGAGGCUUCAGGUGUGAUACCCCAAAAUAUGACUGACACCUUGGAAACUGAAAAAACAGCAGAAGUAGGAAGGCGUCUCUGACCUUCUCUCAGGCUUUCCUCCCCUGAAGCAGACCAUAAAACCCAGGAUCGUCACUCUCCGACCUCUUCUGUUCCUUCUCCCCUGAAGACACUCAUGUGGCAGGUGCCCACACAGAAGAAACUGAACAAACAGGUCUUACUACAUUUCUCCCAGUUUGUUACCUUUGGAUCAGACCCUUUUGUCCUUCAAUUAUACUUCUGUAUGGCUGUCCAUAAAAAUACAGUUUUCCCUGGGUCUUUGGGGCUUUGCUUCUGAAGGCUCACAUGUCAUGUAAGAUUUACAUGAAAUGCAUUUGCAAGCUUUUUGCUUAUUACUCUUUUGUCAUAGGGUUGUUGGCCAUGAACUUUACAAUGAGUGAGGAAAGAAAUCUUUUCUCCCCUACACAGACAAUAAGCAAGAAAACAAAUAAUUCAAAAUGUCAGAGAGUAGCACACACUACAAAGAUAAAGCAGAACGAUAAUGAUUGGAGUAGAAGCAGGUCUACGUUAGAUUAAGGGGCUAGGAGUCUGUCUGAGGAGAUAUUGAGACCUGAAUGGCAAGAAGAAGCCAGCCCUGUAAGAAUAGAUGGGAAGAGAUCAAAGCAGAGGGAAUACAUGGUCAAAGGUACGGAUAGAAGGCCGACCCAGCAUGAGCGGGGGAGUAGAUGUGCUCAGAGAGGCAAGGGGAACUCAUAGGGCCCACUCGGUCAGGGUAGGAUGUUAGGGUUUUAUUCCAGAUGUGGUGUGAAGCCAUCAGAGGAGGAACAUGUUCUCAUGUGUGGUUUUAUAAAGAUCACUCCAGCUGCCAUGUGGAGGGCAAGGCUGCUGUGUAGGGGCGGAAGAGUCCCAGACCUCUUAGUGCUCUAUCUCAUCACCUACCUAAGAGAUAGUGAUGGCUUGGACCAAGAAAGGUAGCAAUGAAAAUGAAGAAAAGGAAAACAAUAAUAACAUAACAUAUAUUUUGAAAGUAAAGCCAACAUAGAAGUAAAAUAAAAAUCAGCCUCCACUAAUUGACUACUUCUAAUGCUGUACAUAUUUAUACUAUGGCAUUAAUAAUACUAAAAUAGAUUGUGCUAAUAAGGCAUAUUUCAACUGUGUGAAGAUUUACCACUGUGAGUCACAACUCCUGAUUUCCCAAAAUGGAAAUUACAGAAAGAAGCCAAAAAGACCAAUUCAGAGUGACCCAGUGUAGCAGAUGUUGGAAAUUUCCUGGCUGCUACUAUUUGAACAUUCUUCCUGUAUUUUGGGAAUUCCUCCAUAAAUAAAUCCUUGAUGGGAGGCAGACCCCUAGCCGUAGUUCCCAUUGCAAAACAAUUUUUGCCGUAGCAUGGAUCUGUCAGUUAUUCUUAGCAUGGAGCCUUUAGAGCGCCAUGUGCUCUAAUUCACAUGAUCUCGUUCCACAUUAACCAAAAAGUCUUUGAUUGUGAUUUGUCUCUACAAGGAGAUCUUUCUACAAAGAAAAGAAAAAGAAAACGACCAGCAUUUUUUUAAACCGCCUAAUAUGGCCAGCAUUGUGAUAGGAAUCUGAAAAUAUAUUGUUUCACUUAAUCCUCAAACCAUCUCUACCAAUUUGGUAUUAUUGGCUUUAUUUUACAAAUUAGAAAAAAAGAGAGAGAAUCAGAGAGUUUAAGAAAUUUACCCAAAAUCACAUUGUUACUAAGUAGCAAAAUCAAACUGCUCAAUUCAAAUCCUGGUUAAUUCCAGAGUUUUCGGUGUAGAUUUGCUUUGCGCUUUAUGGAUCUCAUAAGAAGGAAACAGUGGUCAAGAAAAUGAAAAAAUACUACAGCCAUCUAGACUGAUUUACAUGUAAAAGGGGAUAAAAUUGAGAUCAGGAAAACCAGAGGACAGGGAGAAAGAAGAGCCAGAGUGCAAAAAAUUUGGGGAGGAUUUGCAAAAUGUUAAGGGAUAAAAAGUGGGAAUUUUAGGUAACUGCCAUCUGUGAUGUGUGAAAUAUUAAAAAAGAAAUGUGAGACGGAAUUUUAAGAAAAUAUGCUAUGUAUGGGUUUCCUCUUCGGUGCAGCUUCAUGAGAUUUCAGGAAAAAUUACAUUGUUUUCAAUGCUUUGAGGGCUACCUGACUGGAGUUUCCUUUAUGAGGACAUCAUUGAGAUGAACCAUGAGGCAACCCAGCCUCUUGUAGGUUGCGUGAGUCUCUCACGGAAUUUUCUGUUUCAAGCAGAGAGGAGUAGCCCAUGUCUCUUUCAACCACACAACAGUGACUUCUGAAUAAACAAGCAACCAUAAUAUCCCUAUGGCUGCCUCUGGCUCACACGGUUUUGAAAGAUUCCAGUUGCUACAUCUCCACCAGAGCCUUGUGUGGCAGUAGACUAGAAUCACGUGAAGUACGUAUAUAAUUUUCACAACUUUAAUUCUGUAAGUGCGGCAAAGGGAAGAAAAGAAGAAUUAAAAUAAUGUUAGAAGACAAAACCAAUUAUCAUCCUAGGAUGUGCUUCAUCGUGUUCCUCAAUUAUCUCCAUCCUGCGAUUGUUUAUUGUGUCUGAACCCCGUAUUCAG
rnacentral:lncRNA from 1 species